rnacentral:rRNA from 1 species
GGUUAAGCGACUAAGCGUACACGGUGGAUGCCCUGGCAGUCAGAGGCGAUGAAGGACGUGCUAAUCUGCGAUAAGCGUCGGUGAGGUGAUAUGAACCGUUAUAACCGGCGAUUUCCGAAUGGGGAAACCCAGUGUGAUUCGUCACACUAUCAUUAACUGAAUCCAUAGGUUAAUGAGGCGAACCGGGGGAACUGAAACAUCUAAGUACCCCGAGGAAAAGAAAUCAACCGAGAUUCCCCCAGUAGCGGCGAGCGAACGGGGAGCAGCCCAGAGCCUGAAUCAGUGUGUGUGUUAGUGGAAGCGUCUGGAAAGGCGCGCGAUACAGGGUGACAGCCCCGUACACAAAAAUGCACAUACUGUGAGCUCGAUGAGUAGGGCGGGACACGUGGUAUCCUGUCUGAAUAUGGGGGGACCAUCCUCCAAGGCUAAAUACUCCUGACUGACCGAUAGUGAACCAGUACCGUGAGGGAAAGGCGAAAAGAACCCCGGCGAGGGGAGUGAAAAAGAACCUGAAACCGUGUACGUACAAGCAGUGGGAGCCUCUUAAUGGGGUGACUGCGUACCUUUUGUAUAAUGGGUCAGCGACUUAUAUUCUGUAGCAAGGUUAACCGAAUAGGGGAGCCGAAGGGAAACCGAGUCUUAACUGGGCGUUAAGUUGCAGGGUAUAGACCCGAAACCCGGUGAUCUAGCCAUGGGCAGGUUGAAGGUUGGGUAACACUAACUGGAGGACCGAACCGACUAAUGUUGAAAAAUUAGCGGAUGACUUGUGGCUGGGGGUGAAAGGCCAAUCAAACCGGGAGAUAGCUGGUUCUCCCCGAAAGCUAUUUAGGUAGCGCCUCGUGAAUUCAUCUCCGGGGGUAGAGCACUGUUUCGGCAAGGGGGUCAUCCCGACUUACCAACCCGAUGCAAACUGCGAAUACCGGAGAAUGUUAUCACGGGAGACACACGGCGGGUGCUAACGUCCGUCGUGAAGAGGGAAACAACCCAGACCGCCAGCUAAGGUCCCAAAGUCAUGGUUAAGUGGGAAACGAUGUGGGAAGGCCCAGACAGCCAGGAUGUUGGCUUAGAAGCAGCCAUCAUUUAAAGAAAGCGUAAUAGCUCACUGGUCGAGUCGGCCUGCGCGGAAGAUGUAACGGGGCUAAACCAUGCACCGAAGCUGCGGCAGCGACACUAUGUGUUGUUGGGUAGGGGAGCGUUCUGUAAGCCUGUGAAGGUGUACUGUGAGGUAUGCUGGAGGUAUCAGAAGUGCGAAUGCUGACAUAAGUAACGAUAAAGCGGGUGAAAAGCCCGCUCGCCGGAAGACCAAGGGUUCCUGUCCAACGUUAAUCGGGGCAGGGUGAGUCGACCCCUAAGGCGAGGCCGAAAGGCGUAGUCGAUGGGAAACAGGUUAAUAUUCCUGUACUUGGUGUUACUGCGAAGGGGGGACGGAGAAGGCUAUGUUGGCCGGGCGACGGUUGUCCCGGUUUAAGCGUGUAGGCUGGUUUUCCAGGCAAAUCCGGAAAAUCAAGGCUGAGGCGUGAUGACGAGGCACUACGGUGCUGAAGCAACAAAUGCCCUGCUUCCAGGAAAAGCCUCUAAGCAUCAGGUAACAUCAAAUCGUACCCCAAACCGACACAGGUGGUCAGGUAGAGAAUACCAAGGCGCUUGAGAGAACUCGGGUGAAGGAACUAGGCAAAAUGGUGCCGUAACUUCGGGAGAAGGCACGCUGAUAUGUAGGUGAAGUCCCUUGCGGAUGGAGCUGAAAUCAGUCGAAGAUACCAGCUGGCUGCAACUGUUUAUUAAAAACACAGCACUGUGCAAACACGAAAGUGGACGUAUACGGUGUGACGCCUGCCCGGUGCCGGAAGGUUAAUUGAUGGGGUUAGCGGUAACGCGAAGCUCUUGAUCGAAGCCCCGGUAAACGGCGGCCGUAACUAUAACGGUCCUAAGGUAGCGAAAUUCCUUGUCGGGUAAGUUCCGACCUGCACGAAUGGCGUAAUGAUGGCCAGGCUGUCUCCACCCGAGACUCAGUGAAAUUGAACUCGCUGUGAAGAUGCAGUGUACCCGCGGCAAGACGGAAAGACCCCGUGAACCUUUACUAUAGCUUGACACUGAACAUUGAGCCUUGAUGUGUAGGAUAGGUGGGAGGCUUUGAAGUGUGGACGCCAGUCUGCAUGGAGCCGGCCUUGAAAUACCACCCUUUAAUGUUUGAUGUUCUAACGUUGGCCCCUUACCGGGGUUGCGGACAGUGUCUGGUGGGUAGUUUGACUGGGGCGGUCUCCUCCUAAAGAGUAACGGAGGAGCACGAAGGUUGGCUAAUCCUGGUCGGACAUCAGGAGGUUAGUGCAAUGGCAUAAGCCAGCUUGACUGCGAGCGUGACGGCGCGAGCAGGUGCGAAAGCAGGUCAUAGUGAUCCGGUGGUUCUGAAUGGAAGGGCCAUCGCUCAACGGAUAAAAGGUACUCCGGGGAUAACAGGCUGAUACCGCCCAAGAGUUCAUAUCGACGGCGGUGUUUGGCACCUCGAUGUCGGCUCAUCACAUCCUGGGGCUGAAGUAGGUCCCAAGGGUAUGGCUGUUCGCCAUUUAAAGUGGUACGCGAGCUGGGUUUAGAACGUCGUGAGACAGUUCGGUCCCUAUCUGCCGUGGGCGCUGGAGAACUGAGGGGGGCUGCUCCUAGUACGAGAGGACCGGAGUGGACGCAUCACUGGUGUUCGGGUUGUCAUGCCAAUGGCACUGCCCGGUAGCUAAAUGCGGAAGAGAUAAGUGCUGAAAGCAUCUAAGCACGAAACUUGCCCCGAGAUGAGUUCUCCCUGACCCUUUAAGGGUCCUGAAGGAACGUUGAAGACGACGACGUUGAUAGGCCGGGUGUGUAAGCGCAGCGAUGCGUUGAGCUAACCGGUACUAAUGAACCGUGAGGCUUAACCUU